CCACAGUUAAUGCUUAUGAAUUCUGAAUAUAUAUAAAAACGAGCAAAAUUUCGAGAUAAAAGGCAUUAAUAUUUAAAGAAACAGAAUUGAAAGAAUUGAAAGAAUUGAACUAUGUAGAGAGUUUAGCGAUUAAGGAUUGACAUGUAUAUGUAGUUUUAAACUCACAGAUAUUCAUUAUCAUAAACAAAAAGAAAAAUUUCAAAUUACUUAUGUUUGUGAUUACUCCGAUUAGCAUUUCAACGGCCAAAACCUUGGUAGGAUUCAUUUGCAAUAACCCAAAAUCUCUAAAAUUUAAUAUGAAAUUGAGAAAAGGUUCGAUACCAUCAAGCUGACCAUGGACCUUAAUGAUGAGAUGAAUGCCAGAAAAUCCGUCAGAUGUAGAACAGAAGACAAUCUAUUCCUGCCAUUUUCAUUUUUAAAUUCUCAGCAUCUGAAUUUGCAAUACAUCAACUAAUAUAGAGAAGAAGAAAUGAGAGCUGUGCAAAUGAAAUUAGUAAGAUGGGGUAUAACCCCUUUCAUCCUCAAGAGUUAUUGUCUGCACAUCUAUAUAUUCAUCAGCUGAUAUUACAAUGAUAUACAGAUAUUAGUGAUAUAGACAUCAUGCACUAUUGUUAUGAAUAUCUCUAAUCAUUGUUGGGUUUAGGGAAGCAACAUUUAUCUUGACUCUUGAGUUAUGAAAAUGGUGAGCACCAAUGUGGGGUUUUCUCCUAAUUGAAGAAUCUUCGACUCUCCUGAAUCCUGAUCCUGGGUAGUUCAUCACUUCAUCCAAUCAUCUCAAUCGAGUUAUCCUGAUGAUCCAAGUUAAUAAAGUUAUCACCAUCAAAAAUGAUAAGAGAUUUAGGUGGGUUUAGGGUUAUUUGUAUUUCCAUUGUUGUUGUAACUUCUAUCUCAUACCCCUCAUUGCCUCACCAAUUCACCAUACAUAAAAAAAAAUCGGAUCUUUUAAAAUUUAGAUUAGUAAAUAGUAAUCAGGUUGAAAUACCAGUUACCACUAUUGACGGAGCUGGAUCCUGCUAUUCUGCAUCACAACAUGCCUUUCUCAGCGCCGGAGUUGAGCACUGCAAGGCUCUCUAAAUCGAAAAUCCACCAUCUGCAAUACGAUCUUUCUUCUGUUACCGUUUUGUGUAAACUGAAAUCUCCAGAUGUGUUUCAACGAGGGAGAAGGGGGGGGGUAUCUAGUUUUCGUUCCAUUAAUCAUGGAUUACGAUCAAUUUCAUCUCGAUUCAAACGGAUUUUUCAGCUUCGAAGCUCCGAUGUGAUUGCUUCCUUAAUUUCUCCAACUCCUGGUGUGAUUCACCGUUGCGCCGGAGCAAAUGAACAGUAGUGGGGAGGUUCUGAUCAUUUCGGUAGAGGUCUCAGUGGCAUUAUAAUCGGAUUUCUAAUCGGAUCCGGAGUUAAGCUAAUCUGAAAGGUAACUUUUUUUAUG
rnacentral:lncRNA from 1 species